rnacentral:rRNA from 1 species
AUAUUUUAAUGUAGAAGAAUUAUUUAUAAUUGGUUUUUAGUAAUUAUACGUUAGUCGUUCUUUAUUAUAUCUGGUUUCCUAAGAAAUUAAUUUAAUUAACUGGAGUGGAAUAAUUUUUAUUUGGGAAAGAAAUUUUCGUGUUUGGAAUAUUUAAAGGGAAAAGCUUUUAGGUAUAUUUUUAUAAUGGUGAUGUGUCUAGGAUUGAGGUAGGAUUAGAAGUUUUCAUCUGUAGUGUGUUUUGACUAGGUUUUUAGAAUUAUCAAUUUUUUUUUUGUUUAAGUGUUUUAUUAGGAUAAGGGCUUUAAUUUUUGGGUUCUGGGAUAAUGAUGGAAUUAGUAGAAUAAAAUGUAUUAUAAUAAUACGAGGUUUUAUAUUAUUUUAAGGAAUUAGGCAAAUUUCUUUCCGCCUGUUUAAUAAAAACAUGGCUUCUUGAUAGGGAUAUGAGGUCAGGCCUGCCCAAUGAUAAUUUGAAUGGCUGCGGUAUACUGACCGUGCAAAGGUAGCAUAAUCAUUAGUUUUUUUAUUGAAAGCUGGAAUGAAGGGUUUAACGAGAAAGAUGCUGUCUUAAUUUGAUUAUUUGAAUUUUAUGUUUGAGUGAGAAAGCUUAAAUGGGUUUGAGGGACGAGAAGACCCUAUAGAAUUUAAUAGUUUAGAUGUUCUGGGUUUUUGGUUUACGAUGGUUAGGAUGUGCGAGAAUUAUUUUGUUGGGGUGAUGGGAAAAUCUAAUUAACUUUUUUUUUGUUUUUAUCAUUAAUAAAUGAAUUUUUGAUCCAUUAGAAAUGAUUAUAAGAAUAAAUUACCUUAGGGAUAACAGCGUAAUAAU